rnacentral:tRNA from 1 species
GCCUUCAUGGUGUAGUGGUCAGCAUGCUCGCGUAACCAAGAGAUCCAGGGUUCGAGUCCCGGUGAAGCUG